UACGAAGGUGGCAAGCGUUGUUCGGAUUUACUGGGCGUAAAGGGAGCGUAGGUGGUUAGGUAAGCCCUCCGGGAAAUCUUCAGGCUUAACCUGAAAAGGUCGGGGGGGACUGCCUGGCUAGAGGACGGGAGAGGAGCGCGGAAUUCCCGGUGUAGCGGUGAAAUGCGUAGAGAUCGGGAGGAAUACCGGUGGCGAAGGCGGCAUCCUGGACCGGCAUUGACGCUGAACGGCGAAAGCUAGGGGAGCAAACGGG
rnacentral:rRNA from 1 species